ACGCGCGUCUUCUUCUUCAUCAUUUCCUUGCUCUUUCCUCUUCUCAUCUGAUCUGCCUCUCUCUCUCCUCCAUUGUAGCGUACUCGAAUUUCUCCAUUAAAGAGACUUCGGAGCUUCUCUCAGCACUAUCCUAACACUCCGUCUCUCUCCUUCGAUCUCCUUCUCCAUAACCGCCGCUUUCCCUUUCCUUUCUUCUCUCUUUCGAUCUCCUUCUCCUUCUCCUUCUCCUUCUCUCUUUCUACAAUAUUGGAGAUUAGGGUUUCUGCGGGAAGGUGUUGCGAUAUGGAUAAUAAUGAUAUAAUGGCGUCGGUUCGUUUUGUGGUGUUCAAGGAAUCAGAAACCCUUGAAGGGAAAUGUAUUAAGAUUGAGGGUUAUGAUUUUAAUCAAGGAGUGAACUAUCCCAAGCUUUUGAAAUCGUUCGUCUCAACCGGUUUCCAAGCAUCUAAUCUUUGUGAUGCUAUCGAUGUUGUAAAUCAAAUGCUAGAUUGGCGGCUGGCAAACGAGAUACCCGAUGAAGAUUGCAGCAAGGAAGAGAGGGUGUUUACAGGGAAUCCGUGGGGUGAAAAGUUUUUUUAGGUUUUACCUUAAAUCUUAUAUCUUCUGGUGUUCGUGACACUGUUCGAUAUCUUACUCAGCAUCAUAUGGUGAGAUUAAUUUUUAGAUAUUAUUUCGCUUUAUUUGAUUUUUUCGAAAGUGUUGUUCAAAUGUGUGAACUUAGUUGUGGGGUAUUUAACUUAUUACUUUCUGUAGAUCCUAUGCUUAACAUAGUGUUGGGUUAUUGGGUGAAAGAAAGUAAUUUCUAAGAGAGAAGAUUGUGUAGUAGCAAAUGACUUGUAGCUCAGAGAUUGCAAUCUAUUUGAGGUUAAACAGCAGCAUGUAAAUGCCAUCUCCACGGAGAAUGUUUUAUAUUAUUAGCUUAAUUGUUAGUUCAUUGGUACAGAAUGGUCCAUAUUUUUUCUUUUUCUUUUAUUUAUUUAUUUUUUAAAAAAAUCAGUCUAAUUAAGCAAGCUAGUCUAUCCUCUUCCGAGUCUCUGAUCCACUUGAAUAAAAUCCAAUGAUACAGAUCUAUUCAAAAAUCAAACUGCUACCAUAAAAGAAGGGCACCAAGCAUCUUGUUCUUAUGGAGAUGGCAUUUACAUGCUGCUGUUUGGAUGUGUUUCAGAUCAUAAUGUCUCAGAUACAUGAUUUCCACAACAUGAAAUGGCUUUCUAUCUUGGCUGCCAUCAUGUUAAUUACCUACUCAACCAUUGGAUUGGCCCUCGGCUUUGCUACCGUGAUUGGUGAUCAAUCCCAUAUAUUUCAUUGAUCUUUUAUUACUAUUUACUUGCAGGGGUUGAAGUCUAGAAUCGAAGAUGUCAGAGAGGAAAUGUACUUGCUUUUGUUAUCACUGAUUUUUACUUGGUUUGUCCACUUGAUUUGCUUUCCCUCUCUAGUUUUAUUUUUAUUUUAAUUUUCUCUCUCUAGAUUACUUUGGUCUGGUGGUGGAUCUAUUUGUACAUUAGGGAUACAUGUAAUGCGAUUGGAGUGGUAAAAUAGUAUUGUGGUACUGGUUUUGCAUUUUGCCUUAGUAGGCUGUGACAAAUAGCUAUAUGUGCUUAGCUUGGAUAGUUGAUCUUGUUUCUUAGAUUAUACUUGGAUGGAUUUUUUCUUUACUUAAUGCAUUGCUGAUAAAAUGAUGUAAGAGUGAGAAUAUAUAGUUCAUGCGAUGUUAUUUGAAAUAGCAAAUAUGAUGUUCUGUCCUUUCUCUAUGGGAACCAAGUGGUGAUAGAGCUGUUUAAAGUGGUGUACCUCUAAUUCAUGGGUGUCUCAGUAGUAUUGUCAAUAUUUUUGGCUCUCAUAACUGAAAUGCGGGUUAUUGUUGGCUACCUCCUUGCGGGAUCAAUGAUUGGGCCAGGAGGUCUAAAUUGUAUCAGUGAAAUGGUUCAGGUGAAGUUAGACUGCCUUGUUUCUUUAUAAAUAUAUUAGAAAUUCUAUGACGUGCUCUGCUUAUAACUUGUCGUGAGUAUUUGUUCGUAUGAUUUACGAAUAUUUAGUUUUUCGUGCUCUUCCUCAGCUUUUGUGGUUGCCUCAAUAUCAUAUUUUACGUCAAGGUCACUAAAUCCACAGAAGUAUUUUAAAGACAGCAUGUAGAGAGGGAAAUAUGUAGUUUAUUGUACAACAGUGAACAUAAAACAUUUCUUUUUUCGUAUUGUGUGUGUGUGAGAGGAGAGAGAGAGAGAGAGAGAGAGAGAGAGAGAGAGAGAGAAGGGUUAUUUGUGGACUGAUUUUCUGGGUUUAUAAUUCUGAUUAAUAGUACACUUCCCAAAUUACCUUUCCUAAAGCCAGUCUAUUACAGUAUUGUAUCAACAUUUGUUACUAUGACUUGUGUAUUGAAAUUUGAACCGUAAAGUGUGAUCUUUUGAGAAGAGAGACUUGUAUAGAUGAAUGUUUUUUAUGUGUAGCUUUUAAUCCAUUCCCAUUGAUAAUUUCUCUUUUUACAUGUGUUUAGCUUUACCAAAUUUUGGAAACUUGUUUCUUCAGCCAUCUAAUCGUUUUGUAUUUUUUUUUACAUGUUUUCUUCUACAUAGGUUGAAAUUGUUGCACAAUUUGGUGUUGUGUUCCCCCUGAUUAUAUCUUUAUCUGUGUUCUUACUGUUGCUGUUAAUUUGACUUUUUGAUGAAGAGUUUCAUUACAUUAACUAUAUGUGUUCAUUUUGAGAAAAUGAACGUAAAUAAAUCAAAACCAUAAAUGUAUUUAUAUUUUAUGGUAGAAGUUGUAUCAACUGUAAUUUGGUGCAGCUUAGAGCAGUAGGGCCUAUAGCUGCUCUCGGUGGGGUGCUUCAAAUUAUCGUGUUCAUGUUUUUGCGUGGCAUAACUGCAAUGAUAUGUGGAGGAAAAUUGUCGGAGGGGGUGUUUGUGGGUUCUUUCCUAUCUAUGUCGUCAACAGAUUCAAGAGGAUGUGUUCUACAAUGAUGCUGAGCUAGUCAGUGUGCUGGGGUUGUUUGACUGUUCCUAUGCCUGCUCAGAGCUUCUGUUUUUUCUAUCCUUGCUGGUUCGCUAUGGUCUGUCUUUUUGCUGGCCUCUUGUGUAGCUGUUCUGCGUUCCUGAGCUUGGUUCUGAUGUGGUGGCUACUGUGCUGGUGUCUUUGCUCUGGUGCAGUUUGUGUUCCUGUGACCCUGGGACUGUUCUGCUAUGGUUCAGAUUGCUAUAAUGCUGUUUGCGUUUGGUUUGGUCAGUUUUUCAAUUGUGGUUUUGCUGAUUUGCUUUGCUUUGAUUCUGUGUUGUUGAGUGCUAGGUUUUAUGGGCUGAUCCUUGAAGCUUUCUGCUCAGCUGGUGCUGUUUGACUGUUGUUCUUCAUGGACCUACUGGUGCCUGCUCUGCACUGGUUAGGCUGCUGGUUUGGGUGCUGUACAAUAGUGGUGUGGUUUGGUGUUGUUGUUUUGGUGGGCUGCGAGGUUGUAAUAUUAUUUAAUUUUUUUUGGACGAAAAUUGUAAUAUUACAGCCUUUUUUAAUGAAAAUAUGUAACUUUAUAUAUAUGUUAAUGUUUCUAUAUCAAUUU